ACAGAACGCUUAACACACGCAAGUUCAACUUCGAACCUCGGUUUCGGGUCGGCGGACGGGCGAGUAACGCGUAAAGAACUUCGCCCUCACAGAUAGGGACAACAUUCGGAAACGAAUCGCUAAUACCUGAUAUUAUGAUCUUAGGGCAUCCUAGAAUUAUGAAAGCUAUAUGCACUGUGAGAGAGCUUCGCGUCCCAUUAGCUAGUUGGAGAGGUAACGGCUCACCAAGGCGAUGAUGGGUAGCCGGCCUGAGAGGGUGAUUCGGCCACAAGGGGACUGAGACACGGCCCUUACUCCUACGGGAGGCAGCAGUGGGGAAUAUUGGACAAUGGACCAAGAGUCUGAUCCAGCAAUUCUGUGUGCACGAUGAAGUUUUUCGGAAUGUAAAGUGCUUUCAGUUGGGAAGAAAAAAAUGACGGUACCAACAGAAGAAGUGACGGCUAAAUACGUGCCAGCAGCCGCGGUAAUACGUAUGUCACAAGCGUUAUCCGGAUUUAUUGGGCGUAAAGCGCGUCUAGGUGGUUAUGUAAGUCUGAUGUGAAAAUGCAGGGCUCAACUCUGUAUUGCGUUGGAAACUGUGUAACUAGAGUACUGGAGAGGUAAGCGGAACUACAAGUGUAGAGGUGAAAUUCGUAGAUAUUUGUAGGAAUGCCGAUGGGGAAGCCAGCUUACUGGACAGAUACUGACGCUGAAGCGCGAAAGCGUGGGUAGCAAAACAGGAUUAGAUACCCUGGUAGUCCACGCCGUAAACGAUGAUUACUAGGUGUUGGGGGUCGAACCUCAGCGCCCAAAGCAAAACGCGAUAAGUAUUCCGCCUGGGGAGUACGUACGCAAAGUAUGAAACUCAAAGGAAUUGACGGGGACCCGCACAAGCGGUGGAGCAUGUGGUUUAAAUUCGACGCAACGCGAGGAACCUUACCAGCGUUUGACAUCUUAGGAAAUGAGAACAGAGAUGUUUCAGUGUCCCUUCGGGGAAACCUAAGAACAGGUGGUGCAUGGCUGUUCGUCAGCUCGUGUCGUGAGAUGUUGGGUUAAGUUCCCGCGAACGAGCGGCGACCCCUUUCGUAUGUUACCAUCAUUAAAGUUGGGAACUCAUGCGAUACUGCCUGCGAUGAAGCGGGAGGAAGGUGGGGAUGAACGUCGAGUCGUCUAUGCCCCUUAUUACGCUGGGCUACGCGCGUGCUACGAUGGGU
rnacentral:rRNA from 1 species